rnacentral:lncRNA from 1 species
GGACAGAGCACCCGGACCCGCGGCAGCGGCGGCAGCGGCGCUCCCCACCCUCCACCGCAGCACUCAUCGAGCCAGGAAACCACCAAGCCACGGGCCCUCGGGGUAAGCCACAGUGUGCACACCACAGCGAUGGUGACUCCAAUGAGGGAGAUUAGAAACAGAAAAGAUUACAGAGAGAUCAGAGAUAAGAGGUGUACCUCUCUCUGUCCCUUGUCACACAGCGCGCGUGCACAUGCAUUUGUACAAACAUGCAUGCUCAUACAGCAAUACGUUCCACAUUCUUUGCUACUUCCAUCUAAAUACAUGCACCGACACUCUAUGCCCUGCAGCGUGGCCAGUGUGUUUGUCCUGAUCCUGCAUAAAAGGGGACAGGUACGUGCCAGAACACAGGCAAGAAUAAACAGCCACGCACAAUUGAAUUGCAGCCAAACUCAGACAUUCAGCCUGCUGAAUUAAUCCAUUCGGCCAGGUUUCCCCCACCCCAACCGGAAUUCUGUAACCAGUUGAGGAAUUCUGCAAUUAUUCACAAAAUGUGCUGAAAUUUCACCUCAAGAAACGUAAUCUUGCUAUAUAUGGCAAGGUAAGGGUGAACCUGAAGGGUGGAUGUGUUUCCAUUUUUUAAUGUUUUACGCAUAGCCAUCUGACCACUUUUUAUUGGGUGACAUAUCAUAUGAGCACUUUCGUGUAGGCUUGGAAAAACUAUAGCCAGAGGUAAGGCUGGAAAAUGCCAUAAGAAUUAAGGGUGCUGAAAAUGGAUGCUAGAGAGUCCAAAAGGAGAGAUGGCAUACAGCUGUAGGUUGAGAUGGGAGGAAAUAUAUGUGAAUAUUUAUACACAAAAGCCGUUGGGGAGGGCUGAGUCUUGCCUCGAGUAUCUGUGCAGGUAAGUCAUUCAUAAGAAAACUAAUUACCUGUGCAUGGACUCAGACUUGUUUCAUCGAAAGAGCUGCAUGUGUGCACAUUUUCUGUUCUUUGUGGUUAUGCAAUUAUGGAUUGUCUUUUUUACAAGAUAGCUUUAGGGAAUGUUAAUAUGUAAUUUAAAUAUACAUAUAUUCAAUAGUCCUUGUGCUGAAUAUUGCCAAGAAGGAAAAACUAUAUCCUAUAAACACGAUUACUAUUGCUUGAAAUCCAGCUCAAGGCCUGUAUAUUUUAAGGCACAUAGCCUGCUUUAAUAUAGUUAGCUGUUUUGUCUGUGUGGUUUCACUUCAAAGUCUGGAAUUAAGGAUGCUUUGCAGUCAAGAUAAUGUGCUUCCAUCUAUAUAGAGACAAAAUAAAACUCAGUACAUUUUGAGUGCUGCAGACAUGAUACAACAUACAGCAUGGUUGAAAAAUGUCCUCCUUGCAGAUGGCUCUCCAUUGCUGUCUCUACACAUUUUUAAAUAGAUUUUUGUUUUGCAAGAAACGUUAGAAAGCAAUAGCUAGUGAAUACCGCAUUCCCUCGGUUAAUGAGCACAAUUCUUUAGUAAUCGUUGGAAUCCCUUCACUCACACAUACUUUCUCAAAUAAAUUGGCUCCAACCUGUGUUUAUACUUAUAUGAAGUUAAUCAGACAAUCAAACUUUGAGCCUCAAAACAGUAGGCAUUAUAGUCAAUGGAGGGGUAUGUAAAGAAAGACAAAAAGGAAUGUGUUUCUUUUAUGGUCAAACUAGGAUGUUCCCCCAGUUGGCGUUGGAUACAUAACACAAAUGCAUAUUUGUAAUCUUAAGUAAAUAGAAGGUAGGCAACUGUGUGGAUAAUCUAGCUAGAAAUAGCAAACAUUAGCCAAAAAAAAAAAAAAGACAGAAAAUAAAAAGUCAGAACGGACAACAGAGACAGAUAGACAUAAUAAAACA